rnacentral:rRNA from 1 species
UACGUAGGUGACCAGCGUUGUCCGGAUUUACUGGGCGUAAAGAGCGCGCAGGCGGUCGUUCAAGUCGAGUGUGAAAGCCCCCGGCUCAACUGGGGAGGGUCACUCGAUACUGAUCGACUUGAAGGCAGGAGAGGGAAGCGGAAUUCCCGGUGUAGUGGUGAAAUGCGUAGAUAUCGAGAGGAACACCGGUGGCGAAGGCGGCCUUCUGGACAGUGACUGACGCUGAGACGCGAAAGCGUGGGGAGCAAACAGG